UACCAGCUCUCCGAGUGGUAGGGAUGAUUAUUGGGCUUAAAGCGUCCGUAGCCGGCUUAGCAAGUCUCCUGUUAAACUCAGCGACCUAAUCGUUGAAUCGCGGGAGAUACUACUAGGCUAGGAGGCGGGAGAGGUCGACGGUACUUCUGGGGGUAGGGGUGAAAUCCUAUAAUCCCGGGAGGACCACCAGUGGCGAAGGCUGUCGACUAGAACGCGCUCGACGGUGGGGGACGAAAGCUGGGGUAGCGAACCGGAUUAGAUACCCGGGUAGUCCCAGCUGUAAACGAUGCGGGCUAGGUGUUGGGAUGGCUACGGGCCAUUUCAGUGCCGCAGGGAAGCCAUUAAGCCCGCCGCCGUGGGGAGUACGGCCGCAAGGCUAGAAACUUAAAGGAAUUGGCGGGGGAGCACCACAAGGCGUGAAGCUUGCGGUUC
rnacentral:rRNA from 1 species